GCAGCUGCAUCGACUGGCGGUGGCUUCUGUCGAAAAAUGUUCUUUUUGCCGCCUGCAGAACCCUCAGCCAAGAGGCUUGGAGUAUCCAAAAUCUUCAAUACGAGUUCCUCGAAGCAUUGCUCGACAUUGAUUCGUGUUUUGGCACUACAUUCUAGAAACAGGCAUCCACACUCCCUGGCAAAGUCAAUACCCUCUUUCUUUGUGACAGCUCUCUCAGCAUCCUUGUCCACUUUGUUACCAACAAGCAUCUUGAUACAGUCCUGAUUAGUUACAUAGAGGUCGACUUCUUUCGCCCAUACAUCAGAAAGAUUGGUGAAUGUCU
rnacentral:misc_RNA from 1 species